ACAAAAUUUCUGGGCCUAAUGUAUGGAAAAACCCGUGCUUGGCGAACAAAUGAGUCAGAAUACAACAUAUCGCUGAACUGAAUCUAAGAGAAGUUGGUCAUUUUAACUUCAAUUCAGGAAUAUCCUGGGAGUUGCUUGCAGCCUCCAUUGACUUGGACCGGUAUUACCUCGACGUAACCAAGGUUGCUCCUUAAUCAGGUGGCCUGCAGGACCUCACCCCGAAAACAAGUAGUUUUUCAGUAGGCAGAUCAGCAGUCAGUCUCAAGAUAACAUUGAGUCCAACAUCAGAACCCAAACACAUAUUAGAAUGUAGACUUUUCAGAGCUAACGUGUAAUUAUUUAGCACUCGAACAUAGAAUGGACUUUUUGGCCCUAUAACGGAACCCGAGAAAUCAUUCACAACUCUUAAAAUAUUUCAACUUUUUUUCUUGUGAUUUUUUUAGUAAUUAUAUGCAAUACUAUGACUUAUUACUUGAGUUAUUCUCAACCCCUAUGAUUUUGUAGAUAAAUUGAACAUUUUAUGACCCAUUUGAUGAAGAAUUUGUCAAUUUGAGGUCAACAACGCUGGGAGUCUAGCAGUCCCUAGCCGUCUAAAACAGAGGUUUGACGAAUCACAUCAAAAAGAAAACAGCAAUUCUAGAGAUGACAAUUCUCAUACAGUUUCGCACCCAACUUCCCACUGGAGCAAGCGAGUGACAACAUUAGCUAUCUUAAUAUUGGUAAGAAACUUCUGUUUGAUAGAUUAACCUUAUCUGAGUCAGAAGAUUUCAUCCUCUACUGCCUGCGGUUUGUUCUGAAUAUUCUUCUCAACCCAAGCAAGAGCAGUAUAAGCCCAACAUAGUUAUAGUCGUAAGCCAAACUGACAAACUCCAUCUUGAAAUCAUUCCAUGGAGGAUACCUUGGUUCCAACUCAAUUAAGAAGCUCCUAUGUAGAACUGCUUUUUCAUGACUAAAUGUGUCAAAAGAGUACUUCCCAUGGUAACGUCCAUGACCACUCUGACCAACGCCUCCGAAUGGUAAUAUGUCACAUAUAAACUGAAAGUGCAAUAUUUUGACAAGUAAAUCAAGCAUCUCCUUUUCUGCUUAUAUUUCGCUGAGGGGGUGAGGAUACAUUUGAAAGAGGAGGUGGAGCCUCAUACCUGAAUUACAGCAUCAUUGAAAGUCAGACUUCCGGAAGAUGUUUCCUGCAAGAUCUUCUCCUUCAAUGACUCGUUCUUGGUAAAUGCAUAUAUUGCAAGAGGUUUUGGCCUCGAGUUUAUGAACUGAAUGCUUUCUUCAAUAUUAUUCAGCUGUUAAAAGAACCACUUUCCUGUCAGACAUUUUCUUGAAAGAGUUUUUCUGACAGAAUGAAUAGAGAGUUCCUUUUACAUCAAUUGGAAGCAUAGAUCAACAUUCUCAAGUAAAACAUAGCAACCAUAUUCCUUGAACAUGAGUUUGCUCUUACUGUGAUGAUUGGAAGCAAUGGGCCAAAUAUUUCUUCAGUCAUGAUAUCAGCAUCAAGUGGAGGAUUCAACAAGAUUGUUGGCUCAAUGGCCCUGAAAAAAUCAUCAACUAGAAUGAGGAACAAGGUAUGUACGCAAUAGUAGAAUAGGAUACUGAGGGUUACAUAUUUUUCUCAUCUACUGAGCCUCCAUAAACAACAGCUGCUGCAACUUUUGGAUCUUUCAGAAGAUUGUGUACUCUAUCAAAGUGGUGCUUGUUCACGAUUCUGGCGAGAUUUUUCAAAGUUUUUAGGUUUUCACCAUGAAAUUUCUUGAUGUACUUCUUCAAUAGUUCAAUCUGGAAUGCCAGAAAUUACAACAAUAAAUAGGUGGCUACACUAUCUGCCUAAAAGAGAAAACAGAAAAGAACUUUUACUGGGAAAGAAAGAGGGAAAUGGUAAAUAUAACAGCUCAUCUGCCAUUAAUACCAGAACGGGAGCAAAUUGUGUUUCCACGAGCACAUAAUCGAUUCCAAUGCAUGCUUGUCCAUUGCAUGAACCCCACUUGCCACCCGCUACCCUCUUGACAGCCACCUUAAACCCAACAUCAUACAGUGAACAAAAUAUGAAUAUGGCUUGAACAAAUUAUAUACUUCACUCCACAUCAUAACGCUACCCAAGAAAAUUGAUGCAGUUAUUAGGACAAAAAUGUCCAAUUUUACUCAAAACGACGUGUCAGUGUCAAUUUCCUUUCAGAUGCCUUUAUGCCUUAAGUUUAUAGCUCAACUUUCUUUUUAGAUGAAACAUGGAGUAACCAUUAUUACGUUAGAGGAUAUUUAACCAUUGGAAACCUGUAAAUCAGAGGAAUUAGAUAGUGUGUCAAAGAUGGUAGGACAUUUUCCACCCAGCUCUAGAGUUACAGGUGUUAAAUGCUUUGCAGCUGCUGACAUUAUGAGGCGCCCAACUUGUGGACUACCUGCAAAACAGGAAGACAGAAUUACAUCAUCAACACAAGUGGCUGUUAUACAUAACUGUUAGAAAUAUAGGAGAAAAAAUAUUAUUGAAUUGUUGUAAUUACGUUAUUUCAUUGAAACCCUAUUUAUAGGCAAUACAUUCCACUUAUUUUCCUAAUCGGACACUACAUUACAAUCCUUUUCCAAAUAAGAGUCUAUAUGUUAUUCUUAUUCCCACUACUCAUAUUCUUAACACUCCUCCUUUGGAUUUUGGUGCAGUGGAUGGGGCUGCUCCACCCUUAAUCAGAGGUUAAGGGUUCGACCCUAAGUAUAGAGAAAACUUUGUUGGGAGCGCUGUCACCUUAAUGGGUCCUGCAACGCGUGAUCCGAAUUAGUCGGGGCUCCAAUGCGGGCACCGAACACCAGAUGAGAAAUAAAAAAAAAAAAAACACUCUCCUCGAGCUGGUGCAUAGAAGGCAUAUGUGUCAAGCUUGUUAUAGAUGUAAUUAAUACGAGGAUCUGUGAGGGACUUGGUCAAGAUAUCUGCAAGAAAACUGACAAGGACUGCUUUGGACGUCCGGGAGACCUCAACUUAAAAGGAACAAAAUGAAAAAGUGAUCCGAAAAAUAGUAAACAUCGCCAGAAAGUCGAUCAGUCGUUGACUGGUAUAUAAUAUAUAUAUAUAUAAUAUGGGUCAUCUCGAGAUCAAGAUAUUAGUAGAUCUUGAACAAGAAAGUCACCGGAUGACAGGUCAGAACAUGCUCACGCGCCGGAUUAUUAGAUUUGAUGGCAUGAAAAGUGGUCACAAUUUGAGAAAAAAACAUAUGGGUAGGGUCGGAUGAUAACACGACCCACUGAGAGAGAAUUAUAUGGGUAGGGUUGGAAUGAUGACACGACCCUACUGAGAAAUAAAAAUGAUAUGGGUAGGGUUAGAAUGACGACACGACCUUACUGGAAAAUAAAAAUUAUAUGAGUAGGAUUGGAAUGACGAUACGACCCUACUGAAAAAAGAGAAAAUAUACGGGUAAGGUCAAAAUGACAAUACGACCCUACUGAAAAAGAGAAAUUAUAUGGUAGAAUCAAAAUGAUGGCACGACCCUACGCAUAUCAGAUCUAAGGAGUCACCGAAAAAACACACGGUGCUAUGCAACUCAAAUAUGAGAAAGUAAUCCGAAAAGAUGUACGGUACUACACAAAUUAAAUAUGAGAACUAGUCCGGAGAGAUGGAAGGUGCUACGCAAUUAAAAAUGAGAGAUAGUCCGUAGUGAUGCACGGUGCUACGAAAAUCUGAUAUGAGAAAGUAGUCACCGGAUAAAUGGACGAUGCUACGCAAAUCUAAUAUGAGAAAAUAGUCACAAGAAAGACACAGGAUGACCCAACUUUUGCUAACAUAAUCGUUGGCUAGAUGGGUGGCAUAUAUGUAUUAUAGCCGCCCGCCGGCAGCGGAAACUCUUUGAUUCUUUACCAAGAUCGUGGAAGCUUUGUGAGAAAUAUAGGAGAAAAAAUAUUAUUGAAUUGUUGUAACUACAUUAUUUCAUUGAGACCCUAUUUAGAGGCACUACAUUCCAAUUCUUUUCCUAAUCUGACACUACAUUACAAUCCUUUUCCAAAUAGGAGUCUAUAUGCUCUUCCUAUUCCUGCUCAUAUUUUUAACAAUAACUAACAAUUCUUUCUUCUAGGUCAUUUCUUAAUUAUUCUUGUUGCUGAAUGCCCUUCUGCAAAAUGCUCCUCCCAAACAUGAGAAAGAUCACAGAAAACAAAAUGGCUAGGGUAUACCAGUAAAAAAUAUCUUGUCCCAUUUUAGUUGCAAUAGCUGUUCUGCCACUUCUUUUCCACCUUCAACAACUUUAAUAGCUUCUGGAUCCAAGUAUAGAGGUAUUGUAUUGACUAGAAAAGAGGAGCAUUUUGGUGCUAGAUCUGAAGGUUUGAGAACGAUGGUGUUUCCAGCCGAAAUUGCUCCAAUUACUGGAUCUAAGGCUAGAGCUGCAGAUGAAACAACAGGGUAAUAAAUAUAAAGCAACAGUUACGGACAACCAGCAACGAGACCCUAGUAGAUGUCGAUCGAGUAAUGAGUAGUAUAAAAUCCAUAUUACUUUGUUCCUGACUUAGUCAUAUUGAUAUUCAAGGAAUUUGUUUGAUUGUUCAGUAGCAGUCAAAAAGACUUUACUCACAGAUGGGAAAAUUCCAGGAUGCAAAAAUGAGCACUACUCCCAGCGGCUCUGAGACUACAGCCCCUCUUGCUGGAAAGAAAACUAAUGGCAUUCGGCCCUGCUCAUAUAGCAUCAUCAGUGGCUGCUCAACAACUUAGUUUACAAAUUAUAGAUAAUGAUGCCAGAUGGCCGAGCAACAUGGACAAAGAACAAUUUUAACCUUCACCUUCGGGUUAGAUGACCAAGAUGAAGUAAACAAAAGAGAUAUUUGCCAGCUUUCACGCACAAAGAGUGAUAGCAUGCUGCAGGUGAAAAGCGGAAGGGUGCCGAAAUACAAACCUUCUGAGGGGCCAUCCACUUCUCAACACAACGCAAUGCAUUCGUAGCUGAUUUCUUCACCACACCAACCUGAAAUGAGAGGAAAACCAAUCUCUUGGUCAUGCGAUGAAUACUACAUACACCAAUUUUUAUUGUUUAAUUCUCUUUAAUCAUACAUGAAUUUCAAGUGUAUAUGCCAUUUCUCUGUCAUGAUGUAUAUUUGUAAAUUUUGGUCCUACUCCUUAGGUAGGAUGAACCAGCUCAGCAUGUGCAAAUAGGAAGACAGAUGAAGUCCUGUCAUUUAUCAGGCACGUCCUGCC